rnacentral:rRNA from 1 species
UACAGAGGUCUCAAGCGUUGUUCGGAUUCAUUGGGCGUAAAGGGUGUGUAGGUGGCGCCGUAAGUCGGGUGUGAAAUUUCGGAGCUUAACUCCGAAACUGCAUUCGAUACUGCGGUGCUUGAGGACUGGAGAGGAGACUGGAAUUCAUGGUGUAGCAUGAAAUGCGUAGAGAUCAUGAGGAAGACCAGUGGCGAAGGCGGG